UGUGAACUCUGCGGCGGCGGUCUGGGUAAUCCGGCGUAGGCAAGCGUGAAACUUAAUUAUUGGUCGGAAAGCGUUGGCAGGCUGCUUAUUAAGUCAGAUGUGAAAUCCCUAGGCUCAACCUAGGAACUGCAUUUGAAACUAAUAAACUAGAGUACCGUAGAGGGAGGUAGAAUUCCAGGUGUAGCGGUGAAAUGCGUAGAUAUCUGGAGGAAUACCAGUGGCGAAGGCGACCUCCUGGACGAAAACUGACGCUCAAGCACGAAAGCAUGGGGAGCAAACAGGAUUAGAUACCCUGGUAGUC
rnacentral:rRNA from 1 species